GAUGAACGCUGGCGGCGUGCCUAAUACAUGCAAGUCGAGCGAACGGACGAGAAGCUUUCUCCUCUGAUGUUAGCGGCGGACGGGGGAGUAACACGUGGAUAACCUCCCUAUAAGACUGGGAUAACUUCGGGAAACCGGGGCUAAUACCGGUUGAUAUUUUGAACCGCAUGGUUCAGAAGUGAAAGACGGUUUUGCUGUCUCUAAUAUAUGCAUCCGCGCUGCAUUAUCUAGUUGGGAAGGUAACGGCUCACCAAGGCAACGAUGCAUAGCCGACCGGAGAGGUGGUUCGCCAACACGGGAACGGGGAAACGGUCAAAACUCCUACGGGAGGCAGCAGUAGGGAAUCUUCCGCAAGGGGCGAAAGCCUGACGGAGCAACGCCGCGUGAGGGAGGAAGGUCUUCGGAUCGUAAAACUCUGUUAUUGGGAAGGAACAUAUGUGGAAGUAACUGCGCACAUCGUGACGGUACCUAAUCAGAAAGCCACGGCUAACUACGUG
rnacentral:rRNA from 1 species